rnacentral:rRNA from 4 species
UAUCUCGGCUCUUGCAUCGAUGAAGAACGUAGCGAAAUGCGAUACUUGGUGUGAAUUGCAGAAUCCCGUGAACCAUCGAGUCUUUGAACGCAAGUUGCGCCUGAAGCCAUUAGGUUGAAGGCACGUCUGCCUGGGCGUCACGCAUUGCGUCACCCACUCCCCCGUGCCUAAGAGGGCAUG